rnacentral:rRNA from 1 species
CUCCUACGGGAGGCUGCAGUGAGGAAUAUUGGUCAAUGGGCGCAAGCCUGAACCAGCCAUCCCGCGUGCAGGAAGACGGCCCUAUGGGUUGUAAACUGCUUUUCCAGGGGACGAAUAGCUUUUACGUGUAAGGGCAUGACGGUACCUUGGGAAUAAGCAUCGGCUAACUCCGUGCCAGCAGCCGCGGUAAUACGGAGGAUGCGAGCGUUAUCCGGAUUCAUUGGGUUUAAAGGGUGCGUAGGCGGACUGAUAAGUCAGUGGUGAAAUCCUGCAGCUUAACUGUAGAACUGCCAUUGAUACUGUUAGUCUUGAGUUUGGUUAAGGUAGGCGGAAUGUGUAAUGUAGCGGUGAAAUGCUUAGAUAUUACACAGAACACCGAUUGCGUAGGCAGCUUACUGGACCGACACUGACGCUGAGGCACGAAAGCGUGGGGAUCGAACAGGAUUAGAUACCCUGGUAGUCCACGCCGUAAACGAUGAUUACUCGCUGUUGGCGAUACACAGUCAGCGGCUAAGCAAAAGCAAUAAGUAAUCCACCUGGGGAGUACGGCCGCAAGGUUGAAACUCAAAGGAAUUGACGGGGGCCCGCACAAGCGGAGGAACAUGUG